rnacentral:rRNA from 1 species
AGCAGCCGCGGUAAUUCCAGCUCCAAUAGCGUAUAUUAAAGUUGUUGCAGUUAAAAAGCUCGUAGUUGAAUUUCGGGAUCAAUGUUUCGGUCAUGCCGUUGGUAUGUACUGAUAUUAUUGGUUUCUCACCUUCUAAAGAACCGUAAUGCCAUUAAUUUGGUGUCACGGGGAAUUAGGACUGUUACCUUGAAAAAAUUAGAGUGUUUAAAGCAGGCUCACGCUUGAAUACAUUAGCAUGGAAUAAUGAAAUAGGACAUCCGAUUCUAUUUUGUUGGUCUCUAGGAUCGAUGUAAUGAUUAAUAGGGAUAGUUGGGGGCAUUAGUAUUCAAUUGUCAGAGGUGAAAUUCUUGGAUUUAUUGAAGACUAACUACUGCGAAAGCAUUUGCCAAGGAUGUUUUCAUUAAUCAAGAACGAAAGUUAGGGGAUCGAAGACGAUCAGAUACCGUCGUAGUCUUAACCAUAAACUAUGCCGACUAGGGAUCGGAUGAUGUUAAUUUUUUAAUGACUC